rnacentral:rRNA from 1 species
CCUACGGGUGGCUGCAGUGGGGAAUAUUGGACAAUGGGGGGAACCCUGAUCCAGCCAUGCCGCGUGUGUGAAGAAGGCCCUCGGGUUGUAAAGCACUUUCAGUGAGGAAGAACGCCUGGUGGUUAAUACCCAUCAGGAAAGACAUCACUCACAGAAGAAGCACCGGCUAACUCCGUGCCAGCAGCCGCGGUAAUACGGAGGGUGCGAGCGUUAAUCGGAAUUACUGGGCGUAAAGCGCGCGUAGGUGGCUUGAUAAGCCGGUUGUGAAAGCCCCGGGCUCAACCUGGGAACGGCAUCCGGAACUGUCAAGCUAAAGUGCAGGAGAGGAAGGUAGAAUUCCCGGUGUAGCGGUGAAAUGCGUAGAGAUCGGGAGGAAUACCAGUGGCGAAGGCGGCCUUCUGGACUGACACUGACACUGAGGUGCGAAAGCGUGGGUAGCAAACAGGAUUAGAUACCCCGGUAGUC